rnacentral:rRNA from 1 species
UACGGAGGGGCUAGCGUUGUUCGGAAUUACUGGGCGUAAAGCGCACGUAGGCGGCUUUGUAAGUUAGAGGUGAAAGCCUGGAGCUCAACUCCAGAAUUGCCUUUAAGACUGCAUCGCUUGAAUCAUGGAGAGGCGGGUGGAAUUCCGAGUGUAGAGGUGAAAUUCGUAGAUAUUCGGAAGAACACCAGUGGCGAAGGCGGCCCGCUGGACAUGUAUUGACGCUG